AUGCCCAGUGAUUAUAAAAAGACGCGUUAUUCUGAGGAAUCCAACCUGCUGCUAGUCUUUCUUUUACUAUCGUCUCUGUCUUUAAUCUCCUCUUUUCUGUCCCUCCUCCACUUCUCCUUUUUAUUCAAACUGGCAACAGGGUCCGCUGACUGCGAUUAUGAGAUAUGAGGGCAU
ensembl:snoRNA small nucleolar RNA SNORD97